GACGAACGCUGGCGGCGUGCUUAACACAUGCAAGUCGAACGAAGUGGCGAACGGGUGAGUAACGCGUAAUCAACCUGCCCUUCAGGGGGGGACAACAGUUGGAAACGACUGCUAAUACCGCUAACUGAAGGAGGGGUUUGCGUCGGAUUAGCUAGUUGGAGGGGUAACGGCCCACCAAGGCGAUGAUCAGUAGCCGGUCUGCGAGGAAUAACGGCCAAAUUGGGACUGAGACACGGCCCAGACUCCUACGGGAGGCAGCAGUGGGGAAACUUCCGAAAUGGACGGAAGUCUUACGGAGCAACGCCGCGUGAGAGAUGACGGCCUUCGGGUUGUAAAGCUCUGUUAAUCGGGACGCGGUACCGGAAUAGAAAGCCACGGCUAACUACGUGCCAGCAGCCGCGGUAAUAC
rnacentral:rRNA from 1 species